rnacentral:rRNA from 1 species
GUGAGGAAUUUUCCGCAAUGGGCGAAAGCCUGACGGAGCAAUGCCGCGUGAAGGAUGAAGGCCUAUGGGUUGUAAACUUCUUUUCUCAGAAAAGAAUUAUGACGGUAUCUGAGGAAUAAGCAUCGGCUAACUCUGUGCCAGCAGCCGCGGUAAGACAGAGGAUGCAACCGUUAUCCGGAAUGAUUGGGCGUAAAGCGUCUGUAGGUUGUUUAAAAAGUAUUCUGUCAAAGAUUAGGGCUUAACCCUAGAUAGGCAGAAUAAACUUUUAAGCUAGAGUUUGGUAGAGGCAGAGGGAAUUCCCGGUGGAGCGGUGAAAUGCGUAGAGAUCGGGAGGAACACCAAAGGCGAAGGCACUCUGCUGGGCCAAUACUAACACUGAGAGACGAAAGCGAGGGGAGCAAAUGGGAUUAGAUACCCCAGUAGUCC